rnacentral:rRNA from 1 species
AAACUUCACACUGGGGGCAACCCCGAUGAGGGAAUUCCUAGUGCCAGGGCUUUUUGUUCUGGCUUUUCUCCGGCGUAGAUAACCGGAGGAAUAAGGGCUGGGUAAGACGGGUGCCAGCCGCCGCGGUAAUACCUGCAGCCCGAGUGGUGGUCGAUUUUAUUGAGUCUAAAACGUUCGUAGCCGGUCCGGUAAAUCCCUGGGUAAAUCGGGAAGCUUAACUUUCCGACUUCCGGGGGAGACUGCCGGACUUGGGACCGGGAGAGGCUAGAGGUACUUCCGGGGUAGGGGUAAAAUCCUGUAAUCCUGGAAGGACCACCGGUGGCGAAGGCGUCUAGCUAGAACGGAUCCGACGGUGAGGGACGAAGCCCUGGGUCGCAAACGGGAUUAGAUACCCCGGUAGUCCAGGGUGUAAACGCUGCAGACUUGGUGUUGGAGGCCCUUCGGGGCAUUCAGUGCCGGAGAGAAGUUGUUAAGUCUGCUACUGGGUAGUACGUCCGCAAGGAUGAAACUUAAAGGAAGU